UGUAAAAUAUCAAGGAGCAGGCAGUCAUAAUUCAACCACCUAAUUCAGAAUACUUGAAAUUAGGAAUACACGACCCGGAUCCGAUACCUGAAAACAAGGGAUCCAAUUAAAUUAAAACAAAGAUAACAGAUUACAAGGUAUAUAAAGAACGGGACAGGCAGUUUGGAGAGCAUCGGAAAAUUAUUUUUCCAUUUGUGAGUUUACAAUUUUCUGCUCUUCUCAAAUCGUUCUCAGUGCUUGGAUUUCUUUUCUGUUUCAAUCUGGUAAUUUCUUGUGUUUGCUGUUCUCAUUUCUCAGGUAUCAUCCCAGAUCUUGUUAAAUUUUUGUUUCAUCAUCUUCCUGUUUCAAUUUCCAGAAUCAAGUAAUCUCUUCAAAAUUCAUUUUCAAUUUCUGUUGUAAACUGUAAAUGUGUUUUCUAUCGUUGUAUACAAAUCUAUUGGAUUCUAGUCCGUUUCAAUUUGUUUAGUUUAGUAAACUUUCUUUAAACAAUUUGUUUCAAUUUCUUUAAAUCAAUGUUUCUUUAAAUCAAUAACAGAUUGCAAUCAAUCGGCAAGAAAUCGCGAUGAUGAGCUGCAGACGGUGAGAAAUCGCGAGAAGCUACAAACAAUCACGAACUGCAAUUGAUCGGCGAGCAAUUAGACAGUGAGCAGGCGGCGAGAAAUCGCGAUGAAAUCCACGCAAUGAAAUCGCGAUGAAACAUACUGAAAGUCACACGCAAAAUCGGCGAGCACUAGAUCGGCUAAAAUCAGGGAUGCGAGACGCCAAAUCGGGAAAAUCCGCGAGAUUGAAGCAACGGAAAUCACCAAAUCGCUCUUCUUUUUCUCUCUCUUUUUUUUCAAGAAGGGGAAAAUCAACUAAGUUGAACAACAACAGACUGAUACCAUAUCAAACAACUCGAAAUUUAUUUGAAAUCCCAAAAUGAAAAUGUAAUUUCAUUAACCACAAAUGUGAGUUUAACAAGAGUAUUUAAAAGAAAAUUUCUAACUAAUAUAAGGACAAUUAACAAGAGUAAUUAACCACAUUAUUAACUAACUAAACCAUUACUAAGUAUUGUAUCAAUUGCUCUUAGUGAGUUCAAUUCUUAAUUAGUGUAGAAUGAAUAAUCUCAUGACAGUCAGUCGUCCGUCCUUCUCGUGUGUAACCUAGCUUCAUCGCUCUAUCUUCUCGGUUUCUUCUCGACCCUUUGUUUUAACUUGUUGGGUGAGUUAAGCUUGUUUACAUGUUUUAUACUCUUUGAUUCCUCUGAUUGGGGGUUUUAGAUGUCCAAUAGUGGACUUUAACGUCCCAUUACAAAUCACAUUUCCUCUGUCCCUUCUAUGCAAUUAAUUUUGACCACUUCCAAUUUGCAUCAACAUUGAUAAAUAUAAUAAAUUCACAUGGGCAGUUGGCACCUGAAUUUUUGUGAUAUAUUAAAAUAUAGAGAACACUUGAUAUAUGUUGUAAGGCUAGGAAAGGCUAAUGUGUGAUUUUGGAUGCGGCAUAAACGAACGUAUAUGACUACUACGUUCGUAUGGAUUUCUUUCAAUCUCGCUACAAUUUUCGAACUGCAACACAUUAUUGCAGCUUCUAAAAUCCUUCCCAAACAAAACCAAGUUACAACUAGGGUCACCUAGAUCCAUGAAAUCCUAUAACAAAUUAAAUAAUUAUUAAGGUUAAAAAGAUAAUUCAGUAUUCCUAAUGUCAAAUACAAAAUAAUCUCAAGGUUUACUAUGAUGCUAUGAAUUUGGUUAUUUAAAUAGAAUAAAUAUCAGAGGCCUAGUUAAAGAAGUUCAAUAGCGUCUUUACGUCUGACCCGUCUAUUUUUUAAAAUUUUGAUGUGAGAUAGAUGAUUGACGUCAGCCGUCUAUUAGUGUAAUGAUAUUUUUUUUUGUUCAAUCCUGACUAAGUCUCUUUUAUA
rnacentral:lncRNA from 1 species